UACGUAGGGACCGAGCGUUGUCCGGAAUCAUUGGGCGUAAAGAGCGUGUAGGCGGCCUUUUAAGUCCUGCGUGAAAUCCUGCGGCUCAACCGCAGACGGUCGUGGGAAACUGGAAGGCUAGAGUGCGGGAGAGGAGAGUGGAAUUCCCGGUGUAGCGGUGAAAUGCGCAGAUAGUCGGGAAGAACACCCGUGGCGAAGGCGGCUCUCUGGAACGCAACUGACGCUGAGACG
rnacentral:rRNA from 1 species